rnacentral:rRNA from 1 species
UGGGGAAUAUUGGACAAUGGGGGCAACCCUGAUCCAGCCAUGCCGCGUGAGUGAUGAAGGCCUUCGGGUUGUAAAGCUCUUUUGGCGGGGACGAUGAUGACGGUACCCGCAGAAUAAGCCCCGGCUAACUUCGUGCCAGCAGCCGCGGUAAGACGAAGGGGGGCUAGCGUUGUUCAGAAUUACUGGGCGUAAAGCGAGUGUAGGCGGUUGCCGUAGUCAGGUGUGAAAGCCUUGAGCUCAACUCAAGAAAUGCACUUGAUACUGGGUGACUAGAGGACCGGAGAGGAUAGUGGAAUUCCCCAGUGUAGUGGUGAAAUACGUAGAGAUUGGGAAGAACACCAGUGGCGAAGGCGGCUAUCUGGACGGUUACUGACGCUAAGACUCGAAAGCGUGGGGAGCAAACAGGA